GAUGAACGCUGGCGGCGUGCCUAAUACAUGCAAGUCGAGCGAACAGAUAAGGAGCUUGCUCCUUUGACGUUAGCGGCGGACGGGUGAGUAACACGUGGGUAACCUACCUAUAAGACUGGGAUAACUUCGGGAAACCGGAGCUAAUACCGGAUAACAUUUGGAACCGCAUGGUUCUAAAGUGAAAGAUGGUUUUGCUAUCACUUAUAGAUGGGCCCGCGCCGUAUUAGCUAGUUGGUAAGGUAACGGCUUACCAAGGCGACGAUACGUAGCCGACCUGAGAGGGUGAUCGGCCACACUGGAACUGAGACACGGUCCAGACUCCUACGGGAGGCAGCAGUAGGGAAUCUUCCGGAAUGGGCGAAAGCCUGACGGAGCAACGCCGCGUGAGUGAUGAAGGGUUUCGGCUCGUAAAACUCUGUUAUUAGGGAAGAACAAAUGUGUAAGUAACUGUGCACGUCUUGACGGUACCUAAUCAGAAAGCCACGGCUAACUACGUG
rnacentral:rRNA from 1 species